UAGUUGGGGUUGUUUCUAGCUUGAGCAUUUCUGUUUACAAUCUACACAAUGAACAGAUGUGGUGCAAUUAUGAUGCUAGUAGAGAUGGAAUAUAGCAGCAAAAAAGAGACGUGUGAAGCAAAAACAUUAUAUGCUUUUGUGAAUGGAGGUGAGCUGAGAGGUUUAAGAUCUUUGGCCAAAGAGUUAAGAUCUUUGUCAGCAAAAGAUGAGAAAUUCACCGAGUACUAGAAGGUUUUAAUGGAAGAAAACAUGAAAAAUAAGUAAUUGGACAGUUCCCU